rnacentral:lncRNA from 1 species
UUUCCCUGUAUUUCUAAAUUGGCAUGCUGUCGCAUGUGGUUCAAGCAACGACUUUACUUUUAUUAGCAGUGGAGAAGGUAAAAUUUUUCAAAGCCUUUAAAAGGCUCACUCUUUAACAAAUUUCAUUUGACUUAACUACAAGCGCCAUUCCUUUUCGUCUAUCUAUAAUUUUUUUGCGUUUAUAAAUUCUUCAUACACACACACACACACACACACACACACACACACACACACACGACAGAAGAAGAAUUAAGUAGCAGCUAGGCAGCCAUGUCUUUGAAUGAGAGAUCAAGGGGGGUUAAUGCAAUAUUAGUUAUAGUUAUGAUUAUAGUUGGUUUUUCAGCAGGGGGAAGAGCAAUGAAAGUGAAGGAUCUGGGGUUCUAUAGCUCAAUUCAAGGCCAGCUACCCAGAGGGCCGGUGCCGCCUUCUGACCCUUCUCCAUGCCAUAACGGGGUCAAGCUUCAACAUGAAGCCGAGGAUACUAAUUAUGGCCAUGCUCAUUUUAUCAUUUGUCCAUAACCCCACCCGGCCCCUUCUUAUUUAUUUAUAAUUAUUAAUUAGUAGUAAUUACGUACAAGAACAACAUUAAUAUUCAUAUGCCUCUGUUCCUGCCCUCUCCUUUUAUUUAACUUUCCAAAUUACAUACCACUUUUUCUUUGGUGAACAAUGCUCACUGUUUCCCCUUCCCCUUCUUUGUAAAUAACACAGAUUUUGAAUGAAAUUCAAUAGUGUAGAUUUUUAACAUUAUUCGAUGGUUUUAUAUACUUCUUCUGUCAUUGUUAAUUAUUUCAUUAGUUGGUAAGUAAAAUAAAUUUGAUGUAUUUAGAACAGAGCUGUCA